rnacentral:rRNA from 1 species
UAUUGCUCUUGAACGAGGAAUCCCUAGUAAGUACAAGUCACUAGCUUGUGCUGAUUACGUCCCUGCCCUUUGUACACACCGCCCGUCGCUACUACCGAUUGAAUGGCUUAGUGAGGCCUUCGGAUUGAGAUUCGGAGACUGGCAACAGACUCUUGGUUUUGAAAAGUUGGACAAACUUGGUCAUUUAGAGGAAGUAAAAGUCGUAACAAGGUUUCCGUAGGUGAACCUGCGGAAGGAUCAUUACCGAUUUUUAGCGGACCUGAUCUAUGAUCAUGGUCUCGCGAAAACUUGUAUUUAAAACCCCACUCUUAUAAAUUGAAUCAUUUUAUUAUAUGUAUAAUAAAUAAAGAUCACUUUCAACAACGGAUCUCUUGGCUCUCGCAUCGAUGAAGAACGUAGCGAAGUGCGAUAAGUAAUGUGAAUUGCAGAAUUCCGUGAAUCAUCGAAACUUUGAACGCAAAUUGCACUCUCUGGUAACCCGGGGAGUAUGCCUGUUUGAGGGUCAGUGUUAAUAAAAAUCGGUGCGUUGCAAUUUUUGUGAUGUUCCGGAGUUUGAGUUAUCUUAUCUUCUGGGUUUAAGAGGCUUAAAAUUGACCUUCUUUGUGCAUUUUAGACGUACAUAAAUUUUUUUUUAUUCGUUUAUCUUAAUGCCAAAAUCUAUUAGAUGCGACCAUAUCGUGUGGUUCCGUGUCUAUAAAUUUUUCAUGAUUUGACCUCAAAUCAGGUAGGAACACCCGCUGAACUUAAGCAUAUCAAUAAGCGGAGGAAAAGAAACUAACAAGGAUUCCCCUAGUAACGGCGAGUGAAGAGGGAAGAGCUCAAAUUUUAAAUCUGCCUUGUUUCAAGGUCGAGUUGUAAUUUGAAGAAGCUGUUUUCUUGGGCUCGCGGCCGGUAGAAGUUCUUUGGAACAGGACAUCAUAGAGGGUGACAAUCCCGUCUGCGACCGGUCGUGCGUUCAUCUACGAUACGCUUUCAAAGAGUCGAGUUGUUUGGGAUUGCAGCUCCAAAUGGGUGGUAAACAUCACCUAAGGCUAAAUAUUGGCGAGAGACCGAUAGCGAACAAGUACCGUGAGGGAAGGAUGAAAAGAACUUUGAAAAGAGAGUUAAACAGUACGUGAAAUUGUUGAAAGGGAAACGAUUGAAGUCAGUCGUGCUGGCGCGAAAUCAACCUUCUCGUCGAGAGAUCACGUGGCGUGGCGAGCCUCAAAACCGUCACGAAGCGUGAACUCUUUGUGAAAUGGAGCACUUUCGUGUCCGCUGGUUAACAUCAAUUCCGAACGUCAUAAAAAGGCUGGAGGGAUGUGGCUCCUUCGGGAGUGUUAUAACCUUUAGCGGAAUGUGGUGGUCGGGAUUGAGGAUUGCAACGAAUACCUUUAGGGCUGCUCCACCUGGCUUCUCUUUGGUAUCCUGGUGACAGACAGCUUGCUGACGUCGUUAGGAUUCGCCUUUGAACAGGCUAGAGUGUGAGCAAAUUCGUUAAGGAUGUUGACGUAAUGGCUUUAAACGACCCGUCUUGAAACACGGACCGAGGAGUCUAACAUAUGUGCGAGUGUUU